UACGUAGGUGGCGAGCGUUGUCCGGAAUCACUGGGCGUAAAGCGCGCGCAGGCGGCGAUCUCCGUCUGGGGUGAAAGCCCGGAGCUCAACUCCGGGACUGCCUUGGAUACGGGAUCGCUUGAGGAUUGGAGAGGCAAGGGGAAUUCCACGUGUAGCGGUGAAAUGCGUAGAGAUGUGGAGGAACACCUGUGGCGAAGGCGCCUUGCUGGCCAAUUUCUGACGCUGAGGCGCGAAAGCGUGGGGAGCAAACAGG
rnacentral:rRNA from 1 species